CCCCUUUACUGUAGAUGUAUCGUUAUACCAAAAUUGGACGCCCUCUUUUAGAACCCUGGCUACAAGCCUGCUUCUGAAGUAUCUUCGCCCAUUAUAUACCAAGCUUAUAUAAACCUACUAGACUAUUAUUACAUUGACACUGUCUGUGCCGGUGUAGCCAGGUAGUGCCAAAAGUAUUAACAAGCAAGCUUUCAUUGGUAGGGAUGCAACUAGCCUGAAAUAUAUAAGGAGAAUUUCGACGUUUCGAACGAAG